rnacentral:tRNA from 1 species
GACUUCGGUACGCCAAUGGGCAGAGCGGCCCCGGGAAACCGGGGUGGUUUGUGGGUUCGACUCCCACCCCAGGUCG